CCAGGGCGAGAAAGAGGACAAGUUGGAGGAAAGUGGACGCAAAAUUCAUGCUGGUUCUCCAUCUUGUGUGAGAUGUUUGACUUCAACUCUUGGCCUUUGUGCAAACAUCCACCGCGGGGGUCACGGACUGCUCUGAGAAAAUCCACGCAGGCAUGGGGAGAACAUGCAAACUCCACACAGGGAGGGCCGGAGGUGGAAUCAAACCGGCACCUUCUGAACUGUGAGGCAGAUGUUCUAACCAGCGCGCCAGCGUGCCGCCGCAGUGCAAACAGCAGAUGAGAAAUCUAAGAAAACUUGUCGGUCACCAAGGGACGAUGAUGUGAUGUCGCAACUGCCAGCUUCACAAUUCCACUGAUGACAGAAUUGAUGCAAAGUGUCUUCUAAGUGUCAGCAGCCGGUGUGAUGCAAAAAAGAGCAAAGGUCAGAACACAUACGUGCACACACACUACAACUAAGCAUGAAACACUUGCAUGCACAUCUUAAACUGAAAUCCUUGUGGGGAUUUUAUCUGCGAGGCUCAAGUCUACUAAACACAGGAAGGAUGGAUGGAUGGAUGGAUGGAUGGAUGGAUGGAUGGAUGGAUGGAUGGAUGGAUGGAUGGAUGGAUGGAUGGAUGGAUGGAUGGAUGGAUGGAUGGAUGGAUGGAUGGAUGGAUGGAUGGAUGGAUGGAUGGAUGGAUGGAAGGA